AGUGAACGCUGGCGGUAGGCCUAACACAUGCAAGUCGAACGGCAGCACAGUAAGAGCUUGCUCUUACGGGUGGCGAGUGGCGGACGGGUGAGGAAUACAUCGGAAUCUACUUUUUCGUGGGGGAUAACGUAGGGAAACUUACGCUAAUACCGCAUACGACCUACGGGUGAAAGCAGGGGAUCUUCGGACCUUGCGCGAUUGAAUGAGCCGAUGUCGGAUUAGCUAGUUGGCGGGGUAAAGGCCCACCAAGGCGACGAUCCGUAGCUGGUCUGAGUGGAUGACGGUCGAGCUUGGAACUAGGACGCGGUCCAGACUCCUAUGGGAGGCACCAGUGUGGAAUAGUGGGAAAUGUUCGCAAGUGUGAUCCAAUGGGACCGAGUAGGAGAAGAACACGUUCGGGUGGUAACGCCAUUGAUUGGGGUGAAAAAAGCCGCAGAGUGAUACCAAGUUGUAGUGACGGUAUGCGAAGAAUAAGCAACGGCUAACUUCGUG
rnacentral:rRNA from 1 species